CCCUUAGAUGUUCUGGGCACCACGCGCGCUACAAUGGUCUUCGCAAACGGAUGCAUUCUCGAAGGAGAAUGCCAAUCUUGGAAUCUAUGCCUUGGUCGGGACAGUUGCUUGCAAUUUUUCGACUCGAACCAGGAAUUCCUUGUAAUCGUGAUUCAUCACAUCACGAUGAAUACGUCCCUGCCCUUUGUACACACCGCCCGUCGCUCCUACCGAUCGAAGAGUUAGGUGAAUUGUUUUGAUCGAUAAGAUUUGACUAUGGUCAACUCUCGUUGUGAAAUUCUGUGAAUCUGACUGUUUAGAGGAAGGAAAAGUCGUAACA
rnacentral:rRNA from 1 species